rnacentral:lncRNA from 1 species
ACAUAACCUAGUGGUAUGGUUCUGAUAAUAGAAACAUAUUACACGAAGUGCCAGAUAACAAAUACCACUAUUCUAAUCACCAGUGGCUCGGUGUCGAAACCAAUUUUUCGGCUUACAAGUCAACAGAUCCAACGUAUAAUCCCCAUGGACGGGGCCACGUCAUAGCCAUGCUGAGAACACAUAUAUAUAUAAGCAAUUUCACAAAUUUUCCAGUCAAGUUUUCUAAAUCUAUUUCUCAAAUCAUACCAUAUAUUUAAAAUAAAUUAUUUUUGAGAAUAAAACAAUACACGCUUGACCCAUUUAUUAAACUGAAAAUAGAUAGCAUAAAUCAAAUAAAAUAACUAAUUAUAAUUUUUCAAAAAGAAAACACACAUGAAGCGUUAGGUUACUUACCUUAUCACGCCUUAGAAUCCAACUUCAAUCAAACAGAUCGGACAUACCUAUUCAAAACAAUUAAAAUUUAAUUAAUUAGUCAAUUUCUUAGAAGUCCAUCGAUAAGAAAUUCCAAAGAACCUAAAUGGAUCAAAGGAGCAAAAUAACCCAACUACGGGUAAGACUAGGAUGGCUUCAUACUUGAAUCAAGAUAGAUCAAGGAUAGACCAAUCAAAUAGUGAAGCCCAACGGCCC